CCGCCAAGGAGAUGAAUCCACAAAAGGCUGGCCAUAAACUUGCAAAGACUCACAUAGAGAAUAAAAGCUCGAAAGGGUCUAAAAAUGGCAAAUGUGGGAUCAAAACAAGGAACCUCAUGAGUGAGAUUGGAGGAGCCACUGCACCCCCACAACCCCCUUGAAAUAAGGAAGGGGGUCAGGGCCCUGUCAAUUCCAGCCCCCACCACUUGAAAACUGCUUGUACAGGACGCAACCACCAUGGUUAAUAAGAGGUUCAUUUUCCCAUUCUCAGAAUUGGCUAAUAUUCCCCUUGACAUCUGUAGAUAAAGCGUAACUUUGGUCGCAGUGAGGAUUAAAGAUUUUGGUAAAUUUAGUACCUAGGAUUACGAUGUAUAACUGUUGUUGGUACACAGUCUCUAUCUCUCUACUGACAAAUCUCUUAGCACCAACCAAUCCUUAAAUCUCGUAUUCAUUACCAGUUCAAAUCCCAUUAUCUCUUCUCCUUCUACAGACGAUGAUGAUGAUGAUGAUUACCAAGAUCUAAAUCAACAUUACACCAGUCACUGUUUGCCGAUGGAGCAUCAUCAAGAUUCACAAACUUUAUCUGGGGCUCGUGGGGGUGGAGAACUUGGUGAUAGUGGCUUUUGGUGUGGUCCCUUUUGCUUCAAUCCAAAUAGCCCUUUGAUAUGGGAAUCUUGAUGAUGCUGCAGCGGCAAUAAGUGGCUAAUUUAUCUCCAUUUUCAACAGAUUAUACCCACAAAAUCGAUCCAUAUAUCGAUACAAGCUCCCAAAGAUGAAGGUGAAAUUUAAUAUUCUUCACAAAAUAUGCAACUCUCAGUUGUGAUCUUGAUACUGCUGCUUAUUUCUCUAUACAUUCGUUGAUUUCUUUUUGUUACUAUGCACAAAUACAGAUAGGGUUUUGGGGUUUAAACCCAAAACUUGCACUAGGUUUUAUGGUUACUGUUGACCAUAAUCUUCAACCCAUUUGGUAAUAUAAUGUAAAUCUCUGUGCUUCUAGUGAUUAUAACUUUUCUUUCUUUCUUUUUUUCCUUGAGUUUUCUUUCUCUGACUGGCUUUUCUCAGGAGGUUUUUGUACUGCCACCACCUGAUCUCGCUAGGUAUGUCUGUCCUUUGGCUAACUUCUGUGCCAUAAGAUAUCAUUUCGCUGCUUUUAUUUCUUGGAUCCUCUGGGGCUUAUUUGCUUCUCUAUUUCUUAAUUUUUCUUUAGAUCUUGAUUUUCUAUUUUUUCACUUUGUGAUGGAAUCAUACAGUACUUUUAUUAAGAUCAGUGACACUAUCUCCUCCUUUUCUUUUUCAUUGGUGGGGAAGAUGUACAUGAUUUGUUUGGAAUAUGCAACGAAGUCUCGCCUACAAUCAUUUUGCUUCUGUUUGUGCUCCUGUACAAGAUGAAAAUUAAAUAGAGGUUCCGUAGUCUCCUGGCCUCUUGAGUGAAAAUCUACAGCCUUUCAUGGUGGAUUUUUCAGAUUCGGCUUUUUCUUACUAUUUUUAUCAGUUUAUGUUAUUGUUUACCUUUUGAUUCUCUGGUUUUUUUGAAAUCUUUUGAAUGGAAAAGGGGAAAAAAGGGUUUUCUUAAUUUCUUUUAUUAAAAUUACCAAAAUCAUACAGAAGUUUUUUUUCCAUUUCAUAGAGGCCUAGAGAGUGGACUGUGUGUGUUUGUGUUUCAUUUAUUAAGGACCUGAUUUCAUCUGUUUAUUGUUUAUGGUUUGAUAAAUUUAUUUACCAAAAUUUCAGACCAUAAAUUAUAUUAAUUUUUUUCCUGUGUGGUUCUUUUUGAAGGAAAAUAAAUCAAAUAUUCUGAUAGGCAAAAUGCUAGAUUGAAAGAUUUGACAUUUUCUCUAUUGCCUAUUACAUGAAGUUCCUGCAUUGGUUGCUGUGUAAUUCUUCUCCUCUCGUUGAAAGAACGAACGAGAUUCUAAAUAGGGAGAUAAUAUGCCAUUUAAUAAAUUAUUAUUUUGUAACAUUCAUUGAGCCAUAAACUUUAUGGGACAAAACUCUAAUUGGGUUUUGAUUAUAUGCAGAAAUUGUUUUUAGCUGGUUCAAAAAUUUCCAUCUUUUGUAAUUACAUAUAAAAAGCUAAUAUGAUCAUUGAAAUUUAGUUUAGAAUUGGAAUAACCUUUGAUUAUAUGUGUUAUUUUUCACACUGGACAAACUGUGUUCCAUAUGCCAAAACAGUAGCUUUGAUGAUUUUGUGGCUGACUUCUGAAGGAAUAUAAGCCAAACCAUUCUCUUUUCCAACUCAUGAUCCAGUGAAACUUGAUUCAGUACAAUACAUGUUUCUUUAGCAGCAGAUUACUUUGCAUAUUCAGCUUCUUGUGUGUUCUUCAGCAGUACUAAUUGCUUUGGAUUCUAAAGAAAUUUAUUUUCUGUUGUUAAUAUAGGAAAAGCCCUUUUCUCGGAACUUUGUACUCGGACAACUUUUCAUUAAGACAAAUUAUUUAGUAUGCUUGGUAUACUUAAUCCUUUGCUCACAAAAAUGCAAGUUAUUUUUUUUUUUCAAAUUUAAGGGUUACGAUUUUUUGGGAGUAUACAGUUCAUUGAUUUAUUGUAUAAUUUUCCUUGCAUUUCUCACUAUUAUUUGCUUUGAUUACCCUUUAUGUAGACAAUGUAAAGAAGGGUUUGGUAUUGUUGUAAACAUGAACAAUAGAAUUUGGAAGUUAAUCAGAAGAAAGUUUUAGUUAUGGUUUAA